rnacentral:rRNA from 1 species
UGAACUCGAAGAGUAGGGCGGGACACGUGGUAUCCUGUCUGAAUAUGGGGGGACCAUCCUCCAAGGCUAAAUACUCCUGACUGACCGAUAGUGAACCAGUACCGUGAGGGAAAGGCGAAAAGAACCCCGGCGAGGGGAGUGAAAAAGAACCUGAAACCGUGUACGUACAAGCAGUGGGAGCACCUUCGGGUGUGACUGCGUACCUUUUGUAUAAUGGGUCAGCGACUUAUAUUCUGUAGCAAGGUUAACCGUAUAGGGGAGCCGCAGGGAAACCGAGUCUUAACUGGGCGUUAAGUUGCAGGGUAUAGACCCGAAACCCGGUGAUCUAGCCAUGGGCAGGUUGAAGGUUGGGUAACACUAACUGGAGGACCGAACCGACUAAUGUUGAAAAAUUAGCGGAUGACUUGUGGCUGGGGGUGAAAGGCCAAUCAAACCGGGAGAUAGCUGGUUCUCCCCGAAAGCU